AGUAACACGUGGGUAACCUGCCCAUCAGAAGGGGAUAACACUUGGAAACAGGUGCUAAUACCGUAUAACAAUCGAAACCGCAUGGUUUCGGUUUGAAAGGCGCUUUUGCGUCACUGAUGGAUGGACCCGCGGUGCAUUAGCUAGUUGGUGAGGUAACGGCUCACCAAGGCAACGAUGCAUAGCCGACCUGAGAGGGUGAUCGGCCACAUUGGGACUGAGACACGGCUCAA
rnacentral:rRNA from 1 species